CAAAACACCAAAAUGCAUCUGCAUUAUCCUCAAAGAUAACGACAAAAGGCGACAGCAAAUCACUCAUACCUAAAAUCUUGUGUCAGUAAAAAUAAUGAUCAACCCAGGCAUAAACAGCAAGAAUAAAAGAUAGAUACCUAUUCUGUGCAAGGUCCAAAGCCACUCUGAUACCUUGUCUUUAUUGGCAGACCAUCCCUGAGCAAUUGAGGUGUUUAUAAUUGCUGGCUGUAGUACAUCUGAUAUUUUUAGUUGAUUAAUGAUUCCCGAUUCAUAAACUGGAUUGGAGGACAGAAAUUCUGGUUCAUCAUCAUCAAGUGAAACAAUCUUAAUUUCAGAGUCCACAGCGUGCAAGAUUAGUGACAGGUAAAGGAAGAAAAUCAAAACAACUGUCAAUCUCAUAAUGUGAUGCAUCCGAUUCUCUUUCAAAAUUUGGGGAACUGCAAUUCUGUUGAACAAAAGAAUUAUAUGUUGCAUUUGCUGCCUCUGUAC